AUGUAAACACUACUUACUGUGUGAGUAGCCUAUAUAAGGGCCAGGUAGGUGCCUGAACAGGUAAAGGACUUUGCAGCCAAGCUCAGUGACAUCUGUGUCUCAGGAUGCUCAUGGUGGAGAGAGCCAGCUCCGUCGUUGUCCUCCUCUCACCACAUACACUGUAGCGUGUGUGUAGCCUCACACUCUCACUGGCAGUGAGGAGACAUAGAGGGAUGCAUGGAGAGAUGAUAGGUAGGUGGGUAGGUAGGUAGAUGGAUGAAUAGAUAGAUAGAUAGAUAGAUAGAUAGAUAGAUAGAUAGAUAGAUAGAUAGAUGGGUACAUGGGUAGAUGGAUAGAUAGGUAGAUGGAUAGAUACAUAGAUAAAUAGGUGGGUGGAUGGAUAGAGGUGAUAAAAUUUAAAGGAAAAGGAAGACAGGGCUGCUGACUAUCAAAACAACAUCAAAUGGUUUUCAUUGUUUCUAUCUGAUAAGGUAGAAGGACACCGUAACACCCUCAGCAACGGGAAAUCAUGUGGCAUCUUGCAUGGGUGCUUCACCCACAUGAACUCCUCUAGUGGAAAAGCAGUCACUCACACUUGAACUUUGAAAACAUUAAGUAGUCUAUAUAUUGGGUUUUAAAUACACUUAUGUUUUUAAAACCUGAACAUUUGUGCAAUAAUAAAUGCUAACUUCAGGUAAGAGUGAGCAAAGAGGGAUCCAGAAGGGCUGUGUGCGGUGCUUUUGUUCACGUGUUUCAGUAGUAUGUGCAUGGAUGAUUCCUGGCGUCUGGACUCUGAUGUGUGCCUGCAAUGAAGUCGUUGUUAAAGAGACGCUGGUUGUAGGACUUUGGUUCAGAGGCUGUCCUGCAUGUCCUGGUAUGUUUCCUAUGUUCAUCCCGUCCCUUCCCUCCGUACCGUCCUCUGUCCUUCCUUCCUUCCUUCCUUCCUUCUUCCCGGAGAAAGAGAAGUUAGAGAGAGAUGAGGGAACUGAUGCAGUAAGCGUCUCCCAUUACUAACAUUGGUUCUUUCUUGCUUCUCCUAACUCACAUGUCAGAGCUGUGGGGUCAUCUCAUUGUGGCCUCUCCAUUUCCAGGUAUCAGUGAGUGUGCCUUUGCUUUCUGGAUGAACAGUUUAAGAACAAUCAUACUUGACCUCCUUCUUGUAUUCCUUUUUGUGUUAGCUUAGGCUUAAAAAUGGGUCAUACAAAUUAGUUCUUUCUAAGUGAUGGAGUUAAGGUGCAGAGCAGAAAAUAGGUUAGAAAUGCCUGAAAUCUGAGGGAUGAAGAGCAGUGAACCAGGCCACGGACUACCUGGGAACUACUUUACAGUUGUCUUUGCUUUUACUAAAGUACUGGAAGUCUCUGUUCUAGUGGUAUUUUUCUUUUUUAAAAUCUUGCAAUGGGUCCAGUAAGGUGACUGAACAAGUAAAGGUGCCUACCACACAUGACAACCUGAGUGUUAUUCCUGGGACCCACAUGAUAGAAAGAGAACAGCAACUCUCACAGGUGUUUUCUGCCUUCCGCAUAUGCUCAGUCGUUCCCACCACAGCCACCCUCGGGACAAGGUAAAAACUUGUAAUAAAUAGUAAUUCUAGCUGCAGAAUGGAGAGCAGAGUUAAGUAAGAACAAUCAGAAGCAGAGAGAAACUGAGCAGCGUUUACAGUAAUUUCUGCCACUAAAAGUGAGGGAGUGGGAGGCCACAGAUAAGGAGCUUUAGACAGUAAACAGGAGAGCUACAAGUGGUUCAGUUGUCCUACACAUGCUGGCUACUGUUACAUAGGAUCAGCUAGCUCAGGAAAUUAAAUCACGGGGGAAAUAAUUUAUUUGAAUGAUAAUAAAAAUUAGUAAAGAUGGAGGUGAGGAAGAUUGGGGUUGAAGUUUCUAUGGAAAAAUCUAGUUGUAUGGCCUAUUAACUGGGUCCCAGGGGGGGCUGCAGCAACGGGCUUUACAGAAUCGCUUUUCUGACACUGCCACUCAAGUGGGAACAGGCUAAAAUCCAGCAUUUGUCCCUCCAACCCCGCAAAAAUCAGCAUGACAAGUUUUACAGGGUGAGCAGGUUUGUCAAAUUGUAACAGCCUUCGUUUGGUUGUCUGUUGACUGUGUGUGCAGCUGGUGUUGGCAUAGGAAGACCAGCCUCCAUACUAGGUUGGAGGGAAAGAGGAAACUGUGGAAACUGAAGGCUGAUGGUAAAGCCCUGUCAGAAAAGUGAGAAUGAGGCAGGCGGGAAGUGGAUGAGUUGGGAAGUGAACCUUCCGUACGUAUGCUGGCUGUUAAACAGUGGGGAGGAAUAGAGAAGAAGCUGUCUGCUGGGAAAACCUCCACAGAGACAGGAGUGUGUUAGAGCCAAAGCUCAGCAGCCAGAUAGGUGGUCUGGGAUUUAAAGAGUUACACUGUCCACUAACAGGAAGAAUGACGUUGGGACAGAUGUCACACUUCUAGCUUUUCUGCACAGUAGAGAGGGAAGCAGUCUACUGUCCUCAUGACAUCAGACAGAAUUGUCAGAAGGAAUAUAAGCACCUUGUAGGCCUCUUCUACUGUUUCCCUAAUCCUCCUUCCUCCCGCUUGCUCAGUCGGCCACCAUUCUGAAGAGGCUGUCACUGUCUUCCCAGCCUCUCAGGAAUAUUCUCAUCCAACUGUAAUUUUUAUGCCAGCUCUGCUGUAACACACUUGUAAUCUGUAAACCACCGUGCUAUGCAAAAGAUGACAGGGAUGGGGCUGGAGAAGCAGUGCAACAGGGAAGAACUAUUCUUCCAGAGGACCAAGGUUUGGUUCUCAGGAACCACACGACACUCAUGACUCUCCAGGACUCCAGCCCCAGUGGAUCCAGUGUGCGCCUCAGGCGCUGAGUGCAUAGAGCACGGACGGAAACGCGUGCAGAAUGCCCACGCGCAUAAAGUAGAAGAUGGUUUCAAGUUACUAGACACAUUGGGUUUAGGGUACAACACUCAAGCACAGAACAUCCAUAAUAUUGGGCUUAGGGUUCAAACACACUUAUCUUUAUUUACUUUAAAGGUCUUUCUUUAAAAGCCUUAUAAAGUUAUGACAGUUUUAAUGUUAAAUGGUUAAGAAAUACACAAUUGCCACAAUAAAUAUGAAAUUUUAUUGUGGAAGAUGAGAUUUGCUCAUAGUUGGGACUGAGAAGUAUUAUGGUUUGUGUGUCACUGUGAGUUGUGUGUCACUGUGAGUUGUGUGUCACUGUGAGUUGUGUGUCACUGUGAGUUGUGUGUCACUGAGUUGUGUGUCACUGAGUUGUGUGUCACUGAGUUGUGUGUCACUGUGAGUUGGCGCAAAGUGGAAGAUUCAGAUCAACACCUAUUGGAUGCUGAGCUUCAGGAAGAUCCUGAUGAGGAAGUCCAACAUCUGUU
rnacentral:lncRNA from 1 species